AGAGUUUGAUCCUGGCUCAGGACGAACGCUGGCGGCGUGCUUAAUACAUGCAAGUCGAACGAUGAAAGCUGGAGCUUGCUCCGGCUGGAUUAGUGGCGAACGGGUGAGUAACACGUGAGUAACCUGCCCCCCUCUCUGGGAUAACUUCGGGAAACCGAAGCUAAUACCGGAUACGACCAAUGAAGGCAUCUUCUGUUGGUGGAAAGAAUUUCGGUGGGGGAUGGACUCGCGGCCUAUCAGGUAGUUGGUGAGGUAACGGCUCACCAAGCCGACGACGGGUAGCCGGCCUGAGAGGGUGACCGGCCACACUGGGACUGAGACACGGCCCAGACUCCUACGGGAGGCAGCAGUAGGGAAUAUUGCACAAUGGGCGCAAGCCUGAUGCAGCAACGCCGCGUGAGGGACGACGGCCUUCGGGUUGUAAACCUCUUUUAGUAGGGAAGAAGCGAAAGUGACGGUACCUGCAGAAAAAGCACCGGCUAACUACGUGCCAGCAGCCGCGGUAAUACGUAGGGUGCAAGCGUUGUCCGGAAUUAUUGGGCGUAAAGAGCUCGUAGGCGGUUUGUCGCGUCUGCUGUGAAAACCCGAGGCUCAACCUCGGGCCUGCAGUGGGUACGGGCAGACUAGAGUGCGGUAGGGGAGAUUGGAAUUCCUGGUGUAGCGGUGGAAUGCGCAGAUAUCAGGAGGAACACCGAUGGCGAAGGCAGAUCUCUGGGCCGUAACUGACGCUGAGGAGCGAAAGCAUGGGGAGCGAACAGGAUUAGAUACCCUGGUAGUCG
rnacentral:rRNA from 1 species